AUGGAUCUGGCAACGGGCGCCAUGGGCACCCUGCUGCCCAAGCUGGCCGAGCUCCUCAGCAAGGAGUACAAGCUGCAGAAGGGCGUCAAGGAAGGUGUUAGAUCUCUUGAGGAAGAGAUGAGAAGCAUGCAAGCUGUCCUCCAAGUGGUGGGCGAGGUGCCACGGGACCAGCUCGAUGUCCAGGUCAAGCUCUGGGCAGGGGAGGUGAGGGAGCUUUCCUUCAAAAUGGAAGACGUUGUUGACAAGUUCCUGGUACAUGUCGAUGACGGUUCUCAGCCUGCCGGCAAGUUGAACAAGCUCAAACGGCUCACCAAGAAGAUGGCCAGCUUGUUCACCAAGGGGAAGGAUCGCCACGAUAUUGCACAUGCGAUCACUGACAUCAACAAGCAAGUCAAAGUGAUUGCUGAAAGGCGUGCAAGGUACAAUCUCGACAAUAUUGUCAUCAGGCCUGCAGCCGUCACAGUCAAUCCUCUCCUUCAGGCUCUGUACACGGAAAUGACAGAGCUCGUUGGCAUUGAUGGGAAAAGGGACCAAGUGCUAAUGAAGUUGCUCUCAAACGAGGACAAUGUGUCCAAGCAAAAGUUGAAGAUUGUCUCUGUUGUUGGAUUUGGAGGAUUGGGCAAGACUACUCUUGUCAAAGCAGUUUAUGACAAGAUCAAGGGGGAUUUCGAUUGCAGGGCUUUUGUUUCUGUCGGGCGAAAGGCUGAGCCAAGAAAAGUUUUGAUGGACAUCCUUAUUGAUCUUGAUGUGGGAGGAAGUCAACUCACACUGUUGGAUGAAACACAGCUCAUCAAGAAACUCCGAGAAUAUCUCGACAGAAAAAGGUACCUCGUUGUAAUUGAUGAUAUAUGGGAUGCAAAAUUAUGGACAGUCAUCAACUACGCAUUCUCCAAGGGUAACAAUGCUGGUAGUCGGCUAAUCACGACAACUCGUAUAGUGGAUGUAUCUAAAUUAUGUUGCUCAUCUACUAAUGAUUCAGUUUAUCAAAUGGAACCUCUUAGUGAUGACGAUUCCAAAAGGCUCUUCCAUAAACGGAUAUUUUCUCAAGAGAAUGGAUGUCCUCGUGAUUUUGAAGAAGUAUCUAGAGAUAUAUUGAAGAAAUGUGGUGGUGUGCCAUUAGCCAUCAUUACAAUAGCUAGUGUUUUGGCUAGUGAUCAGAAAGUAAAUUCACAUGAUGAGUGGCAUAUUUUGCUAGAGUCUAUUGGGCGUGGACUUAUCGAACACCCCAGUAUAGAGGAGAUGUUGAGGAUACUAUCGUUCAGCUAUUAUGACCUGCCUAGUCAUCUCAAGACAUGCUUAUUAUAUCUAAGCAUGUUUCCAGAAGAUACUAGGAUCGAGAAAGAUCAGUUGAUAUGGAUGUGGAUUGCCGAAAGGUUCAUCCAAUGUGAAACAACAACAUCUAGUAUGUUUCAGAUUGGAGAAACUUACUUUAAUGAGAUUGUGAAUAGAAGCCUUCUCCAGCCGGUAUACGAUGGUCAUGGCAUUGUACAUGCCUGCCGUGUACACGAUAGUGUGUUGGAUCUAAUUUGUCUUUUGUCAAGGGAAGAGAACUUUGUCAGUGUAUUGAAUGGUAGCAUUUCAUCUCAGGGCAAUGUCCGCCGGCUGUCCCUCCAGAAGAUUACCGAAGAAGAACAUGAAACCACACCGCUCGAAUCUGUGAAUAUGCUACAACUGAGGUCCAUUGCAACAUUUGAACCUGCUAUUAGUCUAAUGUCUCGCCUCUCAAGCUUUGCUGUUUUACGUGUACUGAAUUUGAGUACAUGUGCACUUGGUGAUCAUAAUCUUCAGGGGUUAUGGAGUUUAGUUCACCUGAGGUACCUAGGCCUAUCCAAUACAGGACUUUGUGAGCUCCCGGAAGAGGUUGGAAAGUUGCAGUUUUUACAGGUGUUGGAUGUGAGUCGAAACCGUGGUAUAGAACGACUGCCAUCGAGUGUUACUAAACUGAGAAGAUUGAUGUGCCUACUUUAUGAGGAAAGAUGCAAUCAGCUUCCAGAUGGUAUUGGAAACCUGACAGCAAUGGAAGAGUUGAGUUGUAUCCAUGCUGACUCUCUAAGCAUUGUGAAAGAGAUAGGCAACAUGAAAAGAUUGAGGAAGUUUGAAAUUUUGUUUGAGCAAAUGAGCUUGGAGUUGGAGGAAGCUUUUGCGAAAUCACUAGAGGAAAUGUCCAACGUCCAAAGUGUAACCAUUCGUAUAAAAAAUGGUGGAUCUAAGAUGAUGGAUCUCUUGGGGGAAAAGUGGGUUCCCCCUCAAGGUCUCCGGGAAUUGAUAUCACAUGGUAAAAAAGGAUGUAAAUUCUCUAGGCUGCCAGCAUGGAUAAGAGAGAACCCCUCGCACCUUUCACAUCUCUCAAACUUACAAAUUUGUGUGAAGGAGGUGCAACAGGUGGAUGUGGGACUGCUUGGAAGAUUGCCGGCUCUUCAUACUCUUGCAUUGCAGAGCCUUCGCCAAGGGCUGCUACUUGUCAAUGCUGAUGGGUUCCGUUGUGUAACAAUAUUCUGCUUGUGGUCCAAUUCGCCGGGCCAAGUCAUAUUCCAGCCAGGAGCAUUGCCCAAGGCGGUAAUGGUUCUGCUCCAUGUCGGUCUACAGGUUUCAAAACAGGAAGCAGCUGGCGACGAUGGUGAUUUGUUUGACAUGGGUAUCGGGAACCUUCCGUCCCUUCGGAGUGUCAAUGUCAAAUUCAAAUUCUGCCCUUCGCUGCCACGACGGGACGUCAAGAAAGCGAAUUCUGCACUGGGGACUGCACUCCGUGCCCAUCCUAACAGACCCUCUUACGCCUCCGUACAAGAUGACGACAGUGACGACGACGAUGAGUGGGAGUGA
rnacentral:rRNA from 1 species